rnacentral:rRNA from 1 species
GGGGGACGCAGUAGGAUAGGCGAAGCGUACGAUUGGAUUGUACGUCUAAGCAGUGAGAUUGAGUGUUAGGCAAAUCCGGCACUCUUAAGAUUGAGCUGUGAUGGGGAGAGGAAAUUGUUUCCUCGAGUCGUUGAUUUCACACUGCCGAGAAAAGCCUCUAGAUAGAUAAUAGGUGCCCGUACCGCAAACCGACACAGGUAGUCAAGAUGAGAAUUCUAAGGUGAGCGAGCGAACUCUCGUUAAGGAACUCGGCAAAAUGACCCCGUAACUUCGGGAGAAGGGGUGCUCUUUAGGGUGCAAGCCCAGAAGAGCCGCAGUGAAUAGGCCCAAGCGACUGUUUAUCAAAAACACAGGUCUCUGCUAAACCGUAAGGUGAUGUAUAGGGGCUGACGCCUGCCCGGUGCUGGAAGGUUAAGAGGAGUGGUUAGCUUCUGCGAAGCUACGAAUCGAAGCCCCAGUAAACGGCGGCCGUAACUAUAACGGUCCUAAGGUAGCGAAAUUCCUUGUCGGGUAAGUUCCGACCCGCACGAAAGGCGUAACGAUUUGGGCACUGUCUCAACGAGAGACUCGGUGAAAUCAUAGUACCUGUGAAGAUGCAGGUUACCCGCGACAGGACGGAAAGACCCCGUGGAGCUUUACUGUAGCCUGAUAUUGAAAUUCGGCACAGCUUGUACAGGAUAGGUAGGAGCCUUUGAAACGUGAGCGCUAGCUUACGUGGAGGCGCUGGUGGGAUACUACCCUAGCUGUGUUGGCUUUCUAACCCGCACCACUUAUCGUGGUGGGAGACAGUGUCAGGCGGGCAGUUUGACUGGGGCGGUCGCCUCCUAAAAGGUAACGGAGGCGCUCAAAGGUUCCCUCAGAAUGGUUGGAAAUCAUUCAUAGAGUGUAAAGGCAUAAGGGAGCUUGACUGCGAGACCUACAAGUCGAGCAGGGUCGAAAGACGGACUUAGUGAUCCGGUGGUUCCGCAUGGAAGGGCCAUCGCUCAACGGAUAAAAGCUACCCCGGGG